AGCGAACGCUGGCGGCAGGCCUAACACAUGCAAGUCGAACGGAUCCUUCGGGAUUAGUGGCGGACGGGUGAGUAACACGUGGGAACGUGCCCUUUGGUUCGGAACAACUCAGGGAAACUUGAGCUAAUACCGGAUGCGCCCUUCGGGGGAAAGAUUUAUCGCCAUUGGAGCGGCCCGCGUCUGAUUAGCUAGUUGGUGAGGUAAAGGCUCACCAAGGCGACGAUCAGUAGCUGGUCUGAGGGGAUGAUCAGCCACAUUGGGACUGAGACACGGCCCAAACUCCUACGGGAGGCAGCAGUGGGGAAUCUUGCGCAAUGGGCGAAAGCCUGACGCAGCCAUGCCGCGUGAAUGAUGAAGGUCUUAGGAUUGCAAAAUUCUUUCACCGGGGACGAUAAUGACGGUACCCGGAGAAGAAGCCCCGGCUAACUUCGUGCCAGCCGCCGCCGUAAUAC
rnacentral:rRNA from 1 species